rnacentral:rRNA from 1 species
AUACGUAGGGGGCGAGCGUUGUCCGGAAUGACUGGGCGUAAAGGGCGUGUAGGCGGCUGUCUAAGUCUGGAGUGAAAGUCCUGCUUUCAAGGUGGGAAUUGCUUUGGAGACUGGAUGGCUUGAGUGCGGAAGAGGUAAGUGGAAUUCCCAGUGUAGCGGUGAAAUGCGUAGAGAUUGGGAGGAACACCAGUGGCGAAGGCGACUUACUGGACUGUAACUGACGCUGAGGCGCGAAAGUGUGGGGAGCAAACAGGAUUAGAUACCCUGGUAGUCCACACUGUAAACGAUGAAUACUAGGUGUAGGGGGUAUCGACUCCCUCUGUGCCGCAGUUAACACAAUAAGUAUUCCGCCUGGGGAGUACGGCCGCAAGGUUGAAACUCAAAGGAAUUGACGGGG